GGGGAUUUAGCUCAGUGGCACAGCACCUGCCUCGCAAGCACAAGGUCCUGAGUUCAAUUUCCGGUAACCCCC
rnacentral:tRNA from 1 species